GACGAACGCUGGCGGCUUUCUUAACACAUGCAAGUCGAACGGAAAGGCCCUGCUUUUGUGGGGUGCUCGAGUGGCGAACGGGUGAGUAACACGUGAGUAACCUGCCCUUGACUUUGGGAUAACUUCAGGAAACUGGGGCUAAUACCGGAUAGGAGCUCCUGCUGCAUGGUGGGGGUUGGAAAGUUUCGGCGGUUGGGGAUGGACUCGCGGCUUAUCAGCUUGUUGGUGGGGUAGUGGCUUACCAAGGCUUUGACGGGUAGCCGGCCUGAGAGGGUGACCGGCCACAUUGGGACUGAGAUACGGCCCAGACUCCUACGGGAGGCAGCAGUGGGGAAUAUUGCACAAUGGGCGGAAGCCUGAUGCAGCAACGCCGCGUGCGGGAUGACGGCCUUCGGGUUGUAAACCGCUUUCGCCUGUGACGAAGCGUGAGUGACGGUAAUGGGUAAAGAAGCACCGGCUAACUACGUG
rnacentral:rRNA from 1 species